UUAUGAAUAUAUUCGAGACUGCGAAUGGAAAGAGUGUCUGUGAAGGAUUUAUAAAAGCUGGAAGUCCAUUCUGCGCGUUUGCCGCUACCUGUAACUUCCAAGGCUUGAGUCUUUUGCACGUUGGACAAGAGCAGUGCAAACUGACUGAACUGGGAAAGCCUCUAUUUCUGAAAAUCAAGGCCGGAAGGUGUCCCCGGGGUAAACCCAGAUGCAGGAAAACUAGAUAAGGAAAAUAACUUUUUUAUAUUAUAAGGCAUUUUAU
ensembl:ncRNA lncRNA:CR45034 long non-coding RNA:CR45034